UUCUUCUUAGAAGUCAGCUGUUCCAAUUGGUUGACUUGGUGAUUGCUGUUGUAUUGAAAGCUUGAGCCUGGAGGCCGCUACCCAGACAUUCACCUCAAGCUUGCAAACCCUUUUUCUCUUGUGUACUUGAAGGGUUCAGAAAAAAAAAGAUGCACAAUUACCUUGAGAAUGGAGUCAGGACAGGAAGAAAAAAAAACAGCAUCUAAUAUGAUGCUGGAUUGUGUUCUUAGGAACUGAGUGACUUACAUCCAAAACACUGAAAACUAAUGAAAGACCUUGCAUAAUACAAGAUCAAUGGAUAGCAUCAUGGUGUAACUUUGGAACUAUAAAAUGGAUCCUACAAGCUACACUCACAAAUCAGUUUAAAGAUUAUCAUAGUUUGGAGCAUACAGAAGUCUAGCCAAUUUAAGCUGAGCAUCAAGAUUCUUUCAAUCUUAAUAAAUUGUUGGGCCAAGAGUAUCCCAUCCAAGUCCUGAAAAUCUAUAUAUUCAUUUGGAACAUAGAAUAUAUGGGAUGUAUAUUGUGACUCUAUGGCCUGAGAAGGCAAAGAAGAUCCAAACUUUGGUGGAUCCAACAGCAAGCUCAUGUGCUACCUACCAUUCAUUCUUUUCUUCAUCUGUAUGAUAUCAUUCCUGAUACACAUCCCAGAGUCAUUCCGAGAACAGCCCUCAAUGCUGCUCUCCAAUCAAACUAAAUUGGCAAAUGCAAUAAAACCUAAUUGCCAACUCUUAAUAGUUUAACACCUUAAGACAACCCCAAGUAUGGUUUCAAAAUAAAUGAGUUACAGUUAAGAAG